UACAGCUGAAUCCAGAUUCCUCCACAAUUCCUAGCAAACGGUUGUCCUUCAUGCCUUUCGGGCACGCGCGGUCUCCCCGCAGGUGAGAGGGUAGCUUCUCUGUUCACCUAACCGCCCAUUUCUACCCAGCACCGGCCACAGAGCCCCAAUUAAGAGUUCAGCAAACGUUUCCUGGACUGUUAGGCUCAAGGGUGGUGAAAGGGAAACGAGGACUGCGCCGAAGAAAGAGCCAACAGCCUCAGAGGCAGCUAAAAAAAAAAAUCCGGGCUUGGGAUCCAGGAGGAGACUCCUCGCGUGAUUCCUCGAAAACCUCGCGGAUUUCUGGGCAGGAAGUCAAAGGGCUGGCGCUAGGGAAUUCGUGGGUUUCGAAAUUGGAAAGGAGGGAGGGGGACUUGGUGGAUUUAUCGGCGCAGGAUCGAGGUCAGCGGGAAAGCGGAUCUGAGACAUAGCUUCCAGGCUCCCACCCGGAAGGAGCUGAUUUCUUCAGGAAACCUGUGAACCUCCACUUACCUCUUCCCAUCCCAGUGGCAUGAAUCUGACCCUUUGCAAGCACAUCUCUUCCUCGGCACUCUUCUCAAUUUGCUCUGGCCACAGGGACCACCAACCUGUUCCUCAGAUGUGCAAGCCCCUCCUGCUGCAGUGCCUUUGCACUGACUGUUUUCUGUACCCCAAAUACUCUUCUCUGCGUUAUUUGGCUCUCUCCUCAUCCUUUGAGGCUUUAAAGACCCCUUCUCUAACCAUCCUAUCUAAACAGCUCUCCCCCAUGAAUCUCAAUUACACUACCCCCACUGCUUUCCUACAAAGCACAUAUUACACUUUCUAAGAAUGUAUUUAUUGGGUGCCUCCUUGUUUCUUGGUUUCUGCAUCAGACUAUAAACUUCAUGAGGACAGGGGCCAUAACCAUCUUGUUCAGUGCCGUCUCCUCAGCCCUAAAACAUGCCUGGUGCAUGGCACUCAAUACAUUUGUGAAUAAAUGAUUCUGUGAAUGA